UUUUUACAACUUUAAAAGAUUACGGAAGAAAUGUACUUAGAACAAAGGUUUGUUCAUAAAGGAAGAAACGUGAGAAAUAGUAUCGGCAGCAAAGAAGAUGCUACACGAAUCACCAUAUAGAAGUGGAUUCCAAAACCACGAAUGGUCCCCGAGAACACAUCACAGGAUAAAAUCUACUGAUUUAUCAUUCCAGGCAUGCAGUGCAGAUAUAGGAACUCAAAACACAGAUACUGGAUACUUGGAUAGUUUUCAGGAUGACCAAGCAAAUGUUCACACCACCCAUUUUAACAUAGGAGUCACAUGAUUGGCAGCUAGGCCUUGCAGGCACCGGACUAUCCGGAGGAUGGUCAUUCGUUCAUUACAUGCUUGUUCU
rnacentral:lncRNA from 1 species